AACGAACGCUGGCGGCAUGCCUAACACAUGCAAGUCGAACGAAACCUUCGGGUCUAGUUGCGCACGGGUGCGUAACGCGUGGGAACCUGCCUGUAGGUUCGGAAUAACUCAGAGAAAUUUAAGCUAAUACCGGAUGGUGUCUUCGGACCAAAGAUUUAUCGCCUUUUGGUGGGCCCGCGUUGGAUUAGCUGGUUGGUGGGGUAAAGGCCUACCAAGGAGACGAUCCAUAGCUGGUCUGAGAGGAUGAUCAGCCAGACUGGGACUGAGACACGGCCCAGAACCGGACGGAAGGGAGCAGUGGGGAAUAUUGGAGAAGGGGCGAAAGUCUAAUAAAGCAAUGCGGGGUGAGUGAUGAAGGCCUUAGGGUUGUAAAGCUCUUUUACCCGAGAUGAUAAUGACAGUAACGGGAGAAUAAGCACCGGCUAACUACGUG
rnacentral:rRNA from 1 species